UGGGAGAAGAAAGUGUAAGGAGUAAUCUUAUGAUGAAACUUAAACAACAUGGCAGUUGGAAACUCGGCUUAGAGGGGUAUGCUCCUUAAUUAGAGAAUCCGCUAUGAACCAUACUUAAUCUUGUAAUUCACUCUACCCACCGCCGUCUAUACGACAGUCAAAAUUGUUUGUAGAAAUUUUUAUUUAACAGAAUUUAUAUAUUUCAUUUCAUAUAUAAAGAAGAAGUUAAAAAGAAAAAAGGACAGGUCAAGGUGUAGGCAAUGAUUAAGAGAAGAGUGUACUCCAGUAUAGUUGUGGAAUUCUUCUUGAAAAGGAGAAUGAAAGAGAAUUUAAUAGUAAUAAGGUUUUAUAAUAACGUUAUGAAAUCUGCAAUUUCCUUUGUA
rnacentral:rRNA from 1 species